rnacentral:rRNA from 1 species
UACGGGGGGGGGUAAGCGUUGUUCGGAAUUACUGGGCGUAAAGGGCUCGUAGGCGGCCAACUAAGUCAUACGUGAAAUCCCUCAGCUUAACUGGGGAACUGCGUGUGAUACUGGAUGGCUUGGAUUGGGAGAGGGAUGCGGAAUUCCAGGUGUAGCGGUGAAAUGCGUAGAUAUCUGGAGGAACACCGGUGGCGAAGGCGGCGAUCCUGGACCAAUAUUGACGCUGAGGAGCGAAAGCCAGGGGAGCAAACGGG